rnacentral:rRNA from 1 species
GACGAAGGGUGCUAGCGUUGUUCGGAAUGACUGGGCGUAAAGGGCGCGUAGGCGGCCGCUUGCGUCGGAUGUGAAAGCCCGGGGCUCAACCCCGGAACGGCAUCCGAUACGGGGCGGCUCGAGACCGAGAGAGGUGAGUGGAAUACCCAGUGUAGAGGUGAAAUUCGUAGAUAUUGGGUGGAACACCGGUGGCGAAAGCGGCUCACUGGCUCGGUUCUGACGCUGAGGCGCGAAAGCGUGGGGAGCAAACAGG